UCACUCAGGUAAGUAAGUUCGUAAGCAUGAAAAUUCCAAUCAUUCAAAUUUUAUUUAAGUACAUAUAUCAAAGACUUCACAAACACUGGUAGAUCUUGUAGUGAACAAAUUGAAAGUCGCGUGCUCAAAUAUUGAUAAAAAAUAUCAUUUUGAUACCUAGUAUUACCGAUUAUUAUUGAAUUAGCAAGAUGAAAGUUACAUUCGUUAUUACAAUUUCGGCAUUCAUUUUUUGUAUUUUGCUGCUCACAAUCAGUGCAUCAAAAAUCAGAGAAACACAUGCUGAUGAUCGUCGUCGUGAUGCUCGUGCUAUGGAAUCGAACGACACAAAACCAGCAUUACCCUGUAUUGCUAGCAUCAUAUGUAUUGGCCGUCUAUUAUUUCCCUUUACCAUUGGGUGAAGGUAUCUCAGCCAUAUUUUCUACCAUUGUCAAAUUGGUAACACUGCGCCACCCGCAGUUUUCUGAUAGGUAAAUUUCACGAAUGUGUUGUUGAUUUACUGUUAUUUACUGAAAAUAAUUCAAGUUUUUAAAAUAGGUUAAAAUUAUGGAGUAAUGACAGGUUAGCUUUUAACGUUACUUAAUUUAUUUUUACAUUGCCCAUUAUGUUAUUUUGACCAAAUAGUUUGACUAUUGAAUCUCCUAAAGGUGAAAUAUAGUCCCAAUCAAAUAAAUUGUAAUUUUUAUCCAUCUUUCA